UACGUAGGGCGCAAGCGUUGUCCGGAAUUAUUGGGCGUAAAGAGCUCGUAGGCGGUUUGUCGCGUCUGCUGUGAAAUCCCGAGGCUCAACCUCGGGCUUGCAGUGGGUACGGGCAGACUAGAGUGUCGGUAGGGGAGACUGGAAUUCCUGGUGUAGCGGUGAAAUGCGCAGAUAUCGGGAGGAACACCGGUGGCGAAGGCGGUUCUCUGGGCCUGUACUGACGCUGAGGAGCGAAAGCGUGGGGAGCGAACAGG
rnacentral:rRNA from 1 species